ensembl:snoRNA
AUGACUACCUUUCAGGGAUCAUUUCUAUAGUUCAUUACUAGAGAAGUUUCUCUGACUAUGUAGAGCACCUGAAACCACGAGAAUGAGUUGUAGUGUUCCCUCCUGAGCUUGAAGCCGGCUCCAGGUGCUGCUUUUCUGCAGCUGCCUUUUGCCAUUGAUGAUCGUUCUUCUCUCCCUUAUGGGAGAGUGAGAGGGAGGGAACGCAGUCUGAGUGGAA